rnacentral:rRNA from 1 species
GUAGGUGGCAAGCGUUGUCCGGAAUUAUUGGGCGUAAAGCGCGCGCAGGGCGGUCCUUUAAGUCUGAUGUGAAAGCCCACGGCUCAACCGUGGAGGGUCAUUGGAAACUGGGGGACUUGAGUACAGAAGAGGAAAGCGGAAUUCCAGUGUAGCGGUGAAAUGCGUAGAGAUUUGGAGGAACACCAGUGGCGAAGGCGGCUUUCUGGUCUGUAACUGACGCUGAGGCGCAAAAGCGUGGGGAGCAAACAGGAUUAGAUACCCUGGUAGUCCACGCCGUAAACGAUGAGUGCUAAGUGUUAGGGGGUUUCCGCCCCUUAGUGCUGCAGCUAACGCAUUAAGCACUCCGCCUGGGGAGUACGGCCGCAAGGCUG